UACGUAGGGUGCAAGCGUUAAUCGGAAUCACUGGGCGUAAAGCGCACGUAGGCGGAUUGUUAAGUCAGGGGUGAAAUCCUGGAGCUCAACUCCAGAACUGCCUUUGAUACUGGCGAUCUCGAGUCCGGGAGAGGUGAGUGGAACUGCGAGUGUAGAGGUGAAAUUCGUAGAUAUUCGCAAGAACACCAGUGGCGAAGGCGGCUCACUGGCCCGGUACUGACGCUGAGUGCGCGAAAGCGUGGGGAGCAAACGGG
rnacentral:rRNA from 1 species